GAUAAGAACGUAGCGAAAUGCGAUAAGUAAUGUGAAUUGCAGAAUCCAGUGAAUCAUCGAAUCUUUGAACGCACAUUGCGCCCGCCAGUAUUCUGGCGGGCAUGCCUGUCCGAGCGUCAUUUCAACCAUCAAGCCCCAGGCUUGUGUUGGGGACCUGCGUCCGACGCAGGCCCUGAAAACCAGUGGCGGGCUCGCUGUCCACACCGAGCGUAGUAACUAACCUCGCUACGGGAGCGGCGCGGGCGCCUGCCGUAAAACCCCCAAUUUUCACAAGGUUGACCUCGGAUCAGGUAGGAAUACCCGCUGAACUUAAGCAUAUCAAUAAGCGGAGGA
rnacentral:misc_RNA from 1 species